GUCAUCCUGGGCUCCUUCAUAGUCUCUGCAUCAGCUCCUGCCCACAGAUUCCUGCCCACAGAUUCCUGUCCUGUUUGAGUUUCUAUCCUGACUUCUUUCAAUGAUGGACUACAUCUGGAAGUCAAGUGGAGACCAUCACAGAGAACCACAACUGUGCGCAGUACAGUGACCAACAGAUCGUGGGGAGCCCGGCUCCAAGGCCUACGUCUGCAUCGCAGCUCUGGCAUCUAUGGCUCUGGGAACGUCGCAGAAGCAGAGGCAGAAAGAUCAGAAGUCAGAGUACAAGGAAAUGAGUGAAACAGUUUCUCCUUAGCAUGGCCACACAAACAAGACUGGAACGGUGGCAAUGCCAGGGCCCGGCUGCUGUAGAAGGGGAAAUUUUUUAUGGGGUCCCCCUCAUAGACAAAGAAGAAUGUGUCGCCUUCAUAGUCACAAAAUGUUCAACGCCAUCUCAGCAUCUCUCCUCCUCCCUGACCCACAAGGUCACCCCUGAGUCACAUGGUCACAUGACCUAGCAUCCCGAGGGCAAGGAAGAGGAAGGAGUGGCCACACCUUAAUCUGGAGCGCGAUACCAAUAUCAUCUUAGCCAGGCCUAGUUGUAUGUCCCUAGCCAUGUAGGAGGUGAGGUGUAGAGAAACGUUGCAUAGGCAGUAAGCAUUGCUAUUACAAUAAAGAGAAAUGGCGGAGGCUUCA